rnacentral:rRNA from 1 species
CCUACGGGCCGCAGCAGUAGGGAAUCUUCGGCAAUGGACGAAAGUCUGACCGAGCAACGCCGCGUGAGUGAAGAAGGUUUUCGGAUCGUAAAACUCUGUUGUUAGAGAAGAACAAGUAGGAGAGUAACUGCUCUUACCUUGACGGUAUCUAACCAGAAAGCCACGGCUAACUACGUGCCAGCAGCCGCGGCAAUACGUAGGUGGCAAGCGUUGUCCGGAUUUAUUGGACGUAAAGCGAGCGCAGGCGGUAUUUUAAGUCUGAUGUGAAAGCCCUCGGCUCAACCGAGGAAGGUCAUUGGAAACUGGAGGACUUGAGUGCGGAAGAGGAGAGUGGAAUUCCAUGUGUAGCGGUGAAAUGCGUAGAUAUAUGGAGGAACACCAGUGGCGAAGGCGACUCUCUAGUCUGUAACUGACGCUGAGGCUCGAAAGCGUGGGGGGCAAACAGGAUUAGAUACCCGCGUAGUC